rnacentral:snRNA from 1 species
GUUCUUACCUUGUCAACACAUAUGCUAAAAUUGGAAAAACACAGAGAAGAUUAGCAUGGCUCCUGUACAAGGAUGACAUGCAAAUUUUUGAAAUGCACAAUAUUUUA